UGACGUUACGUCAUAUGCACAGGCGACGUGCUUGAAAAUGUGCAUAGUCUACGUUUCACUUUCAUUUCAGGAUUGCUGGAACUUCACGAAGAGUUCUAGAUGCGUUCUGGAAAAGCACAUAUUUUUGCUCUUCAGAAAUUAUCUGCGUAUUCGGGCAUCAUUUAAGUAUGUCCGUUCGUAACAACAGUUCCCAAAUGGAAGCUGCCAUGCAGCAUGGCGACGCCAGGGCUCAGGGGGUUAAACGCCACCCAAACGGAGAGGUCCCUGUUGGAAACCUGCUCAACAUUGACAAAACUUCGGUCACCAAAUCACUGCACAGUGACAAAGGGAGAGAAAGGGAUGGAGAAGGGGAGAAAGAGGGGGAUGGAAAGGCGGUUGGAGGAGGGGACGCAAAUAAAGGGAAGGAUAGAGGAAGGAAAAGAGACACGGAGGGAGCGAGGGGUGAGGAGGAGAAGAGGUCGUACUGCUCUCAGAAGCUGAAGAAAGUCCCUCAGUGUCACAUGGAGCUGGAGCAGCUGUCCUUCAGCAGAACUCACAACAUCCUCAUAGAUGUGAAUGAGUUCCACCAUAAAGGGUCAUUAAAACCUCAUUCUGGACAUCAUGUGUGGCACAGUGACUUUGUUAAGAUGCCCUGCUCACCAGAAAGCCUCAUCAUGACUGGAUGGGUAACCAGCUCUGAGCGAAGUCGGUGGGAGGUGGUCUCUAAACAGCUGGAGAGUCUGGCCAAGAAGACCACUGCAUCAGUGGGUGACGUAGAGAAAGCCAUAAAGAAAUACAACCCAAAGUAUGAAGCUCAAUGGUCCUUUGAUGCCCUGCAUACCUUUGUUCAGCAAUCACCCAAAGAAGAGAAAUACUACACAUCUGUUUUUCCUAAGAUAGCAAAGCUGGCUUCCAGCCUGCCUCACUAUAUCAAGAAGGCUAUCCCUCUGCUCCAGAAGGACAAGACUCAGUCCAUCACGUUGUCCCAGAUUCAGAUAGCUUGUCUGCUGGCCAACGCCUUCUACUGCACCUUCCCCCACCGCAACUCCCCCAACCCCAGAGCAGAGUACCAUAACUACCCCACCAUCAACUUUAACAGUCUGUUUGAAAAGUGGUCUGAGAGGAAGAGAGAGAAGCUGAGAGCCCUCCUUCAUUACUUCCACACUGUCACAGACCCAGCAACCAGGCCCUGUGGACUGGUGACCUUUGAGAGGCGCUACAUCAGAGACAUGCCCAACUGGAGGAGUUGUAAGGAGACUGUUCCUGAACUCCACGUCUCCUCAGUAGGCUUCAUAGAGGAACAGGGAGCAGGGAUGUUACAGGUGGACUUUGCCUGUAACAUGAUAGGAGGUGGAGUGUUGGGCUCAGGUCUGGUUCAGGAGGAGAUUCUCUUCCUGAUGAACCCUGAACUCAUCGUAUCUCGACUCUUCACUGAGAAACUAGGAGACAAUGAGUGUCUCUUCAUCACAGGUUCUCAACAGUUCAGUCAGUACAGUGGCUACAGCGACACUUUUAAGUGGGUAGGGCCUCACAGAGACGACUUUGAGAGGGAUGAGUGGCAGAGGCUACACAGGCAGAUUGUGGCCAUGGAUGCUCUCCACUUCAGACACCAGAGAGAACAGUACAACAUGAAACAGGUCACCAGGGAACUCAACAAGGCGUAUUGUGGCUUUAAGGCAGAUGACAACACUUACCCAGACUUCCUUCCUGACAUCGCCACUGGCAACUGGGGCUGCGGAGCCUUCAAUGGAGACCCCAAACUUAAAGCUCUGAUCCAGCUGAUGGCUGCAGCCAAGGCCAAGAGGGGCGUGGCCUUCUUCACAUUCAAGAACUCCAGCUUGGAGAGAGAGCUGCAGAACAUGCACCACCUACUGGUCACACACAGAACUACAGUGGCGUUCUGCAAAUGCAGCAGUGGAUGACAGUGAGAGUAUCUUUACUGAGCUGAUCCGCUCCAUGGAGGAAAGGCGCUCUGAGGUGAAGGAGCUGAUCAGAGCCCAGGAGAAGGCUGAAGUGAGUCGAGCUGAAGGUCUACUGGAGCAACUGGAACAGGAGAUAGUUGAGCUGAGGAGGAAAGAUGCUGAGCUGGAGCAACUCUCACACACAGAGGAUCACAUCCAUUUCCUUCAGUGUGUUUUGUAGCCUUAAAGCGAGUUUACCCAGGAUUGGAUCCACUCUGUGCGUCUGUGGACUACAACUCUCCGUUGGUUUUCGUGGCCUUUUCUCCGCUGGAGAUCUGUUGGCGGAUUGUCUGACUGACCGACUGACUACAACUUUUAAUACACGGUAUUUCAUUUGUUUGGGGUGAUGUAUACUGUGAUUUAUGUAGUUGUGAGGAUGUAUUAUUCUUUGGUUAGUCUUUGAUACGCUUUAUAGUUGUGUUGCAAAAUAAGUGUUAUUUUGAGUGUAUGAAUAUAGUGGGUUUACGCUAUGGACAAACGUUGCGUGACUAAGGUCACUUGAGUCACUGAACUUAUUUACCGGGCUGGACUCUUUUUAUGCCCGAGGUACAGGACAUUUCUAAAUGAACAUAAGUGCAUUAAUUGUUAUAUUGUUGGGUGUGAUCAUUUAUGUUGUUAAUACAACCACGCAAAAGAAUACACUUGUUUGAAGUUCUUUCCAAUGUUUUAAGGGGUUUAUGAAAAGUAUAUUUUCAUCCUUACUUUUACAUAAGUCCUUUGUAUUGGUGUGACUUGACGGACCAGAUGGGACUCAUUCCCUCCCAAACUAAAAGGAGAAACCAAUGCUUUCUCUGGUAGGCUCAACCUACCUGGCACCCCUAUAAAUAACCUCAAGUCAAAACCGUUACAAUGUGGCCUUAUACUGUCUUGUUACAUUAUGAAAUGUAAUAUCUUAUUACAGGUUACACUGAAUUAGAGCUAGAAGUGACCCUUCUUAUAAUCCAGUGAUGUCAAUCUUUGUUUAUUGGUAAACUAAACUGAGCAUUGUGGAGCCCUGUAUUGUGGCUGAGCGCUGACACACACAAGAUAUGUUUUGAAUACGUUAUUAAUAAUGUCAAAUAUUACAUUAGAUUCCUGAAAAGCAUUUUCAGGCCCUCACGUUGAAAACAGAAAAUGUAGAGAAUUAACGUGUUAUUUUUUUAGACUUAUUUUCAGCACCUUUGUUUUUUUAAUGUAUUUUC